GCAGCCGUAGCUCAAUUGGAUAGAGCAUCUGACUACGAAUCAGAAGGUUUGAGGUUCGACUCCUCACGGCUGCACCA
rnacentral:tRNA from 1 species